CAAUAGCGUAUAUUAAAGUUGUUGCGGUUAAAAAGCUCGUAGUUGGAGUUCUGCCAGGUGACACUCGUCCGCCCAAGUGGUGUGUACAGGGUGUGCAUCUGGCCCUUUCAAGGGGAACGUGUCUGCACUUCAUUGUGUGGUGCGAGAUCCUUGACUUUUACUUUGAGGAAAUAAGAGUGUUCCAAGCAGGCUCUCGUCGUGCAUAGCUCAGCAUGGAAUAAUAGCAUUGGACUUCGUUUCCACGCUGUUGGUUGCAAGAAGCGAGGUAAUGAUGUAGAGGGAUAGUUGGGGGCAUUCGUAUUUAACUGUCAGAGGUGAAAUUCUUGGAUUUGUUAAAGGCGGACUACUGCGAAAGCAUCUGCCAUGGAUGUUUUCAUUGA
rnacentral:rRNA from 1 species